AAUAUGAUCGGUUCUUCUGCUGAGGCCAUUUUAACAAAACAACAAAUCAAAACUUGCAUGCGUGUCACGUAAGGCUGCGUCUGUGUACAUGAAACUUUUUUUUUUUUUUUAAUUGCAGCCUUUGCGAUUUGAUAAUUGCAUUCUAUUAUAUUGCGAUGUCGGUUUGAAUUCGAUUAAUCGUUCAGCCCUACUGCAGAAACACUCUUUAGAGAACUAAAGGAGUUAAAAUGACUGAAAACAGAUGCUGGGUGGACCCUCUUCCUUGAGACAGAUAAUGUGGCAUAGUGUCCUCCUCCAUGUCAGAGACCAGCACCGCUGCUCUUUUGGAAGUUGUGACCUCGGGCCACUUGAUGAGAGCAGCAGAGAUAAGCCAUGGAUGGUGUGAGGCUCUCCAUCACAUCAGGCUCGUGAAUCCAUCAGUGUAUGAGGCGCACACUCCUCUGGCACCUCAGCCACAGGCCUGCAGCCCUGACUCUGAUGGUAACAAUAGAGAAAUCCUUGGAAGACGGUUGAAAUCUGUGAAGAGACUUCCCAAAACAAGAACAUUAAGACCUGAUGACCAAAGGAGUCUUGGACAUCUUCCUGGGAUUCCUCCACCACCUACAGUACAACAGAACUAGCACAAGCAUGCAUCCAACGCAGAGAAGUUUGUACACAUGCAGGCAUAUUUUUCUUGCAUCACUUGCAUGACAAACAAGAAUAAAUAUUAUAUAUCUCAUAUCUGCAGCAUAGUCUGAAUAUUGAUAAAGCAGCAUGGAUGAUCAUAAAAUAUUUUACUUUUAGAGUAAAAUGUGACACAUGUAGUCACUCUAAGCUUCCUUUUGUUCCUCUUUUAACCAUCACUAUAUCUUCUCUUUCACUCUUACAGAACCUGCCUGUAUGAAAAGUGUAAAGUUGUAUCAUCAUACACCGUGUAACAGAUAUGUAAAUAAUGUGAAGAACUGUAAAUAUUGUAUAUUGAAAUUAAAAGACAAGACUUUAUUUGCA